UAAAGUACGCGGGUUUUAAGUUCGCGAACUUACUCAGCUCGCGUCGGUGAUAGACAUACGAACUUUAACCCUCUAUUUACC